UACGGAGGGGGCAAGCGUUACUCGGAAUUAUUGGGCGUAAAGGGCGCGUAGGCGGUCGUGUGCGUCGAGGGUGAAAUCCCCGGGCUUAACCCGGGAGCUGCCUUCGAUACGGCACGGCUUGAGUCCGGGAGAGGGGAGCAGAAUUCCCAGUGUAGCGGUGAAAUGCGUAGAUAUUGGGAGGAAUACCGGUGGCGAAGGCGGCUCCCUGGACCGGUACUGACGCUGAGGCGCGAAAGCGUGGGUAGCAACAGG
rnacentral:rRNA from 1 species